UACGGGGGGGGCAAGCGUUGUUCGGAAUUACUGGGCGUAAAGGGCUCGUAGGCGGUCUGUCGCGUCGGGAGUGAAAACUCAGGGCUUAACCCUGAGCCUGCUUCCGAUACGGGCAGACUAGAGGUAUGCAGGGGAGAACGGAAUUCCUGGUGUAGCGGUGGAAUGCGCAGAUAUCAGGAGGAACACCGGUGGCGAAGGCGGUCGACUGGGCCAGUACUGACGCUGAGGCGCGACAGCGUGGGGAGCAAACAGG
rnacentral:rRNA from 1 species